GUUUAAUAUGUCAGAAUCGUAAGAUAGCAGCAUCAAUUAAGUUUUAGGUUAGUGUUAAAUCUAUAUCU
rnacentral:SRP_RNA from 1 species